GAGCAUGUGGUUUAAUUCGAUGCAACGCGAAGAACCUUACCUACUCUUGACAUCCAGCGAAUCCUUUAGAGAUAGAGGAGUGCCUUCGGGAACGCUGAGACAGGUGCUGCAUGGCUGUCGUCAGCUCGUGUUGUGAAAUGUUGGGUUAAGUCCCGCAACGAGCGCAACCCUUAUCCUUUGUUGCCAGCACGUAAUGGUGGGAACUCAAAGGAGACUGCCGGUGAUAAACCGGAGGAAGGUGGGGAUGACGUCAAGUCAUCAUGGCCCUUACGAGUAGGGCUACACACGUGCUACAAUGGCAGAUACAAAGAGAAGCGACCUCGCGAGAGCAAGCGGAACUCAUAAAGUCUGUCGUAGUCCGGAUUGGAGUCUGCAACUCGACUCCAUGAAGUCGGAAUCGCUAGUAAUCGUAGAUCAGAAUGCUACGGUGAAUACGUUCCCGGGCCUUGUA
rnacentral:rRNA from 1 species